CUGGUUAAGACCUAAUCUGGUAUCAGGUUAGGUUAAUAGAUUAUGUAAACAAAGGUCCUCACAAAGAACAGUGUGUGGGUUUGUGUGUCUGUGGCUAAAAGCGGCGACCGACUAAGAAGCUUUGUGAUCCGCUGAGCUACAUAGAAUGAGUAAAACAGGAAGGAAAGGACAAAAUAUAUUUUAAAAAUUUCUUGACAACACAAAAAUGUAAAAGAAGGCUAGGAAAAUGGAUUGAGUUCUUUACAAAAGAAAACCAGGAAAAGAUUUGUGAAUUUCAGCGAGAAAGCGGGAUGAAGUGGAGGCAGAGAGGGAGAGGUUGGUAGAUUAAGCUGGGUUAGAGAGGAUUAGUGUCAGGUUGGGUUUGGUUGUAAACUAACCUCCAUGUCAGUCACUUUUGGCUGCGGCUGACAUGCUCACACUGCUGAUUCACUCCGUCUCAAAGAUCAAACCUUGAAUCAACACGCUCAGGGAACCCAAACCAAAGGGAGAAAGGUACUUUGAUGCUGUUGUCUGUGAGCUGACCACAUGUAAGUACGUUUUUUUUUAUGCGCUUAAAUGCACAGAUGAGACAAAUACAAGCUAAACUGAUUAACAUUAGACCUAAAGUCUACUGCAGCUGUAUUAAUGUUGAAUAGUGUACACAAAUGUAGUUGUUUUUUUUAAAUAAAAUUAAGCAUUUAUUGUCUUUCUCAAUAGAUGAAAUGCCAAUGAAUUGUUUAAUUCAGUGUAUUUUACACAAAUGUGAUCUCAAGGCACUUUACAAGGCAAAUGGAUCCACCUUAUAGCCAGAAAUAUAUAAACAAAUCAAUCCAGUCAGGUAGAUGGGUUGGCUAAUAACGAUUGAUGCAAUAUUGUCAAAAGAAGCCCACCUGAUGGGGUCAGUGGCUUGGGAGUGACCCCUUCUUCUAAACAAACAUGUUUAGAGCACGUUUCUAGAAAAUGUAGAAUAACCUGAUAAAUUAGCAUAAAGCAGUGAUUUUCUCGUCCUUUUCCAGGCCUUUCAAAAGCCCCACUAUAUUUUUUGUUAAAUACCAUCAAUCAAACUUCAAAUCACUGCUUGUUUUUAUUUAACCUAAGUAGGGAGGCCCAGACUUUCCUCUUCCCAGCCACUUUGGCCAGCUCUUCAGAGGCAGCCCCAAGACGUUCCCAGGCCAAAUUGGAAACAUAGUUCCUCCAGCGUCUCCUAGGUCUUCCUGUGGGUCUCCUCUUCGUUGGACGUGCCCAUAACACCUCAACUUGGAGGCAUCCUAACCGGAUGCCUGAGCCACCUCAGUUGAUUCCUCUCGACAUGGAGGAGCGGUGGCUCUACUCUGAGUCCCUCCUGAAGGACCAAGCUUCUCACCUGUUCUGUCAGUCACCACCCAAAGUUCAUGACUGCAGAUUAGGACAGGAACGUAGAUCGACCGGUAAAUCGAGAGCUUUGCCUUUUGACUCAGCUUUCCCUUCACUUCAACAGACCGGUACAGACACUGCUCCAAUCUGCCUAUCAAUCUCCCGCUCCUUUUCUCCCUCAUCCGUGAACAAGACCCUGAGAUACUUAAACUCCUCCACUUGAGAACAUGAUUAUACGUGCUUGUUUUACCACAGAUACUGAAAGUGAUAAGUAUUAAGGCCAGCAGCUGCCUUCGGUCUGCCCACCUUAAUUUGAGCUGCUUUAGUCUAUUACAGAAAGCUCAGAUGAGCCAUCUGUCAACAGCUCCAGCCACAAACUGAAAUCAAAACCAGCGACCAGAGUGAUAUCGGUAAAGUAUUGACAAAAAAAACAUUGAUUAGGCUGUAGGACUGUCGAGCUGCUUCACAUCAAUUUCUUGACCUCACAAACAGCAUUAAUAGCAUAUCAUAAACAAUAUGAUACCUAUUUAACAUGUGAUGUGUAAAUACAUAGUUUUAAGUUUGUAUUAUAAACAAAUAUGCUGACUACCUAGGGCAUAUUCAACUUGCUCAGUAAUAUUUCUCUGUAAUGACGUUGUAAUGUAUUUUGUCUGGUUUCCUUACAGGAGAAAUAGCAAUUAAUUCCUCUAUGGUGGUUCUGGAUGAUCACCAUGAGAGAAACUAUGGAGGAUGGGGUCAGUGAAGUAUUAUCCAGCGUUGUGGAGGAUGUUAGUGAAGCCGUCAACAGAAACAUUAGUGGCUCUCAGCUUCUGCAUGAACUACUGAGCGCUCCAUGGCUCCGCGCCUUACUAAAGAUUUACGAGUGCCUGAUGCAGUUCCAGAGAUUGUCACCAAGUCCCCUUCUACCUUGUGCCUCUGGACUCUUAUUUGAGAUCAUGGCCAUCAUACAAAGAGCGCACCGUCCUUCAGCUGAAGCUCGUGAGCUCUACAACCUCCUCAGCUCACCACAUGUCCAGGCCCUCCUAUCAUCUCACGACAGCGUGGCGCAGUCAGACUAUUUACCCGUCCUUUCUCCCCUGCCUGAUGAGUUACCUGAGGACGAGGAGGCCAUGAGGAUCGUUUGUCUUGUAAAGAAUAACCAACCUCUGCGUGAAAAGGGAUACAGAAGUUCUGAAGACCGGGUCGGAGUGUGCCGUAGCCAUUGGAGCAGCCUUCGUCGACUCACGUUGGAGCGCCUCAUCCCCGCCAGGAGGGCGUGGUCUGGGGAGGAGCUCAGAAUGGCCGAGAGCGAGGCCAGGCCUCUGCCUCUCCAUGGAAAUCUGCCCUGCCACUUUGUUCCCCGUUACGAGUCGAUGGGAAGUUGUCGUUUAUGUCCACAAAACGCAGAACUUUUGAAGCAAGGGCUCAACCACUCAGCUCCGGCUGUCUUGAAUCCAGAAACAUGUUCUGAGAGACUCAUGCCCAACAAAGAGGACGAUGCCUCUAGCGGAGGGAGCAGUGACGACUAUUCUUACCCUCCCCCUCCAAUCUCGGCCUACACUGUCAGUCUUCCCAACUCUCCCCUUAUGUACAAAAAGGUUGCUCCAGGAGGUGAAUCAAGGAGCAUUCCUACUCCUUGUAGGGUCCACACAGCACCAGUCAUUCCUGCUACUCAACCUUCUAUGAGGCAACAAGGAGUCAGCACUCUCCCAAAUCCUGUGAGGCAUUGUCAAAAAGAGUCUUUAAGACCUUCGUGUAUUAUCAACUCUUCUCCACAUCAUGACAAACCACAGCAGCAACCACAGAAACAUCAUCAACCUCCUGAGUUUGACAAAAUCUGCAGCAUGGAGGAGCUCAGGACCACGGUUCAGACUGUGGCCAGCAGUAUCGAACACAGUAGCCAGGAUGUACGCCACCUGGAACAGAAAAUGGUGGCGGCGACAGAAAUGAUCACGGAUCGCGUCGAAGAAAACGUCCAGGCCCUCAAUCUUCUUGCCGAGGUGGUCGAUAAGCUUCAGGGGAUCAUCGUGGCCAGAAACCACCCCGAGACGUCUCCACCAUGCAGGCCGAACCCGAACCAGCGGCCCACACUGCCGCCAAGAGUCUCCUCGUUAUCUCCGGUGAUGAUCCACAAACCUCCCACGCCUUAUCCACGGCUGCUCUCGCACUCCUCUGCUUCCUCCAGCUUUUCCUCCUCCUCCUCUUCUUCUUCUGCUGGUUCCUGUGCAGAUGGUUUUGCAGGAUACCACAGCCCACAGGGAUUGCACGGAGGAAAUAAAUCCAGCAAGCGAUCAGAUGGUGCAGACCAUAACGGACAUGCUCGAUUCCACAAUGGAGCGGUCACAAGAGCGCAACAGGAAGACAAGCAGGACUGCAAUAUCACAGGCUGCUUGACAACGAGCAAGAAGAAGAAAAAUAAGCAGCUACUUUAGAGAUAACGUCUGCAUCAUCAUUAGAAACAGACUAAAACUGAUUUACCAGGCCUUUUCUUACAAAUUCAUAUAGACUUUUUCAUGGGACAAAUUCAGACACAGUUUUGCAUUUUAGUGGAUCAGCCAAAGGAGAUAAAAGGAAAUUAAAUGAAAGGGAGCGACUAUAAGGAGGGACGAGGUGACAGGAGACAUCUACAUUGCCCGAGUGAUUCAUGGAGGACUGGCAGACCGCAGUGG